UAGAACACGUUGAUAAGGACAGUCUCUGUCAGGUAACCCCAACAGCGAGCGGGAACGGUGUGAGCCCGUGAGGCGAGACGGAGAAAAUCCCCUUGGAGUGAAGAGCUGAAGUCUGAGUAAGUUCUUUCGGUUUGUCUCCGUUAACAGGCUUCCGAGUGGCUUUAUUGGGCGACAAGGGUGGUACCGCGGGUGAUCUCGUCCCUUUU
rnacentral:ncRNA from 1 species